rnacentral:misc_RNA from 1 species
GGUGAAUGCAGCUUCGGGACGGCAGUUGUGAGUGAGAAGAUGGCGAACACAGACAAGAUAUUCUCGCGUCGCUACGAGUCCUCCUCCAGAGAACCUAGAGACAAUUUUCACGGUUCGGAUGGUGGUAAAUAUGGAAAAGAGUCGAAAUACGAUGAUCCUCCUCACUCCAGACUGUUUAUUGUGUGUGGAAAAUCGAUAACGGAGGAGGAUUUUCGUGAAAGUUUCUCCAAGUACGGAACGAUAGAGGAAAUAUGGGUAGUCAAGGACAGAAAUACCGACGAACCAAAAGGCGUAACAUAUAUAAAGUUUUCCAAGACCUCCGAAGCGGCGCUGGCCAUGGAGGAGAUGAAUGGGAAAUGCAUAGGGGGACACCCAAGACCCCUCAAGGUCCUCAUUGCACACAGGAAACAGGAAAAGAGCCGUGAGCAAGGAUCUCGGAGAGACAUGAACGAAGAGGAGAGGCUCCUGCGACUCUUUGUUGUUGUGCCAAAGUCGCUGGGGGAAGCUGAGCUCAGGGAGCAUUUUGUACAGUUUGGGGACAUAGACUAUGUCUCCAUUGUCCGUGACAGGAAUACUCGUGACAGCAAGGGCUUUGCCUAUGUUAAAUACCACAGGAUGUCACAUGCUGCAAAAGCCUUUGAGAGCUGUGAACGUACCUUUAAGCCAGUGUUUGCUGACCCCAAGCCCCAGAAGUCAGAUGGGCUGAAGUUUGAAGGCGGGGGCCGAGACCUGAGAGAUCUGCGGGGCAGUGAUGGCUAUGGGGGAGGGUACUCAUCGGGCCCACUUACCCCCCACCACAAUAACCAUCACUCGCCUUUCGACGCCAUUUCUUACAGUGAGUUGGACACAAGUGGGCUAAAUCCCGAGGGUGUGACGCGGCUGACAGUUAUCGCUUCGCCUACCCUCAACCAGGACCAGCUCUGGAAGUUGUUUGACCUAAUCCCUGGUCUUGAUUACUGCGACCUGAGGAAAGACCGCAAGUCUGGACAGAUGAUUCACCAUCAGGCGCGUGGAGUGGCUACCGUGGUGUAUAACAACAUUCAGUCUGCUACCUAUGCAAAGGAGAAGCUACAUGGGUUUGAGUAUCCCCCAGGACAGCGGUUAAUUGUCAAGCUUGACCACCACGACAUGCCCCCUGGUCCCCCUCCUAUGAUGCCAGGAACCCCUGGUGGCCCUCCUUUCGCUGGCUUACCUCGUGUGGCUGGAGCGUUGGCCUCACACAAUGGCACUAUGGGAGGAAGUCCCCCAGGAGGCAUGGCUGUGGCACCUCAGUCAGCAGUGUCGGGUGGACAACCGAACAGCAACAUUCAGCAGAACUUGGCGCAGUUGGCAGAGACCAUUGCUCAGGCCACAUCACUCAUACAGGCUGCAGGGCUGAAUCAAGGAUCGGGAGGACACAACAACAUGGGUAGUCAAGGGCAGACUGGUGGUGGUGAGACAUAUGACCCAUCUUACUGCUCAGUCAAAUUGCCACCUCCACAGCCACUUGCACCUGUGGACUCAGCAGUAGCAGAAAGGUUGUUUAUUGUGUGUCAUCCAUCACCACCCCCAAUUUAUGCAUUGAAGGAUGUCUUUGGAAGAUUUGGAAACCUUAUUGAUAUUUAUAUGCUGAAUGGAAAAACUUUUGGAUAUGCUAAAUAUGCUAGCAAAGAUUCAGCUGAUAAGGCAAUUGUGGUGUUACACGGACAAGAGGUACUUGGAUCUCGUUUAAAAGUAAUGGAAGCAGAUCCACAUGACAAAGCAGACUCAGGUCGCAAGAGACUACGCAUUGAUGAUCAGAGUUGAGCAUCCCUGCCUCGAGGUGCAAUAUUACCUGAACCCAACCCUAUUGUCAGCAGCAUGGCACUUGUCUUACUCUCAGAGCAUGAUUGGUGACGGGUAAAAUUGUCUCAGAGUGUUGACAUCGUGACUACGCCGACUACACUACGGACAGUUACGGACAGCCAACACAGCGACAUACUACUACCCUAACCAACCAACGAUCCAACAAACCAACCCCCUGUAACCUUUUAGACAUCCACCAACAGUCAUGCUCCCAGUGACGUCAAACACCAUUGUAUCAAAACUAGCCAAUGACUGGGCCUCCAAAGGCCGAUGUGUACGAGUGACUUCACAGGUGACCUUCUAGGGAUUAGAUACAUGAUGUCUAGUGUGUAUAUGUGAAUGGUCCAUUCUCACCCUUCCCCUCCCCCUCCUCCCGUCACACCGCCACUCAGAUUCUUCCCAACUCCUCCCCUUCUCCACCUCCAUGUCACUACCCCAUAGUGCCCCCCUGCCUCCUGUCAGAAUAAUUUAUCUAGAAUUGAUAGCUGUGGGAUUUGUUUUAUUUUAUUUUACUUUAUUUUAUUAUUGUUAUUUUUUUAAUGAAAUUAAGCCAGGUGUAGGUAUUGUGAAUUUUGAGUACUUCAUGUUGUUGUUGUGAGAAUUUAUUAAUAGGUGGUUUUCACGGUUCAUGAAGGAGAGCCAUUGCUAUCAUGGCUACAAAAAGUAUUAGGUGUAGUUUAGAUUUGAACCACUAUUUGGUAAGAUAUAUAUAUGAUCAGUUUUGUACCAAGUGGAUACCUCAGUAUUAGAAGUAAAUGUAUACUAUUCCUGCACUGUCCCUGUAUAUCGUGGUACCAAAAGUAUGGUUCUAGUGUUCAAAAUUCUGUAUAAUAAUGUGAUGUAUACAAAUGAUUAAAAAGAUGCAGUGUUCUGUUAGUACACUUGAAAACAAUUGUAUGAUCAGACAUUGAAGGAGGUUCUAUAUAGAAAUCCAGUACUAGUGUAUAGAUUGACUCAGCACAUUGUUGUAAAUUCCAUGGGUUUGAUAAUUGAAAAAAAGAUAUAAAGAAAAUUAAAAAAUUAUGUACAACUUCAGAACACAUUUUCGGAAGUGCCCUGCAAAGAUAAGUAUAUAUAUAUAUAUAUAUAUAUAUAUAUAUAUAUAUAUAUAUAUAUAUAUAUAUAUAUAUAUAUAUAUAUAUAUAUAUAUAUCCUAACCUGAAUACCUGAAUAGCUAGAGCCUUUUAUAGUGUCACCUUCCACCCUCCCGCCCUGUUCCCUAUAUAACCGACUGCAGUAUGGUGUGGUAGUGACUGAUGUCUCGUGACCUCCUCCAUUACAAACAAGGCCUGUAGGACUUUUGGUUUGGUGUGUCAAUUUCACAUUCCAUUUCCACCUACAAUAGUUUUGUAGCUGUGUUCAAUUGUAAGUAGAGUAUCAUCCAAGUUGGUGUCCCACUAUGCAGAAUUUUGAAUUAGAAUAUAAAGAAAGGAUGAACAUAAAAGACAUUGUUCCAUUUCAGUUUUGUAGAAAGGUUAGGAAAUUUGGUUCAAUAUUGUUUGUGAAUGUCAUCAGGAUUUUUAUUUUUUUUUUCAUUUAUAUUAAUUUAUUUUUAUUAUUUCAUUUUUUCUAUUACCAUGUUGCCUUGUGGUCUGUAAAGGUGUAACUUCUUAUUACUAUAUUAACUAUUGUCAUUAUCAUUAUCAUAUAUAUAUUUUUUUUUUUUUUUUAUAUAUAUAAUGGAGAUUGUUUCUUCCAUUGGUAGAUGAAUGUCCCUGCUAAAAUUUUGUUCUUUAUUAACAUUAUUGUUGAGUAUUGAGAAGUUAAUAAGUGACCAAAUUAUUAAGAUCUUGAAGUUGACUUUUUACAACAACCAUAUUCAGCAUUACAGCUUCCAUUAGUAAUGUUACUACUAUAAUUGCUAUUGUUAAUGGUAUUAUUAUAAUUAUUAUUAUUGUUAUUAUUAUUAUUACUACUACUAUCAUUUUAUAUUAAUCAUUGCCAUCUUCAUCACUUUCAUUAUUAAUAUUUUUAAAAAAUAAUUUGAUAAUGUUGGUAUUGGCUUUUGUAUCAUAGCUGUGCAUACCAAUACUAAUGUGAGAUGAGGACGGUUUUCAUUCUUACCAUUAAUUGUUUUAUAUAAUUUUUUAUUGUACAUUUUUUUUUUUUUUCUUUUAGUCUUUAUAUAUAUAUAUUAUAUAUAUAGAUAUAUGGUAAGAAGUGCUAUGGAAAGCCUCACAAAGAAACGUAAGUCAAAAGACUUAGGAAAUGACUCAAUAGACAGACGUGGGCAAAGACUUAGAGAAGAUCUGACUGGCUGGAAUCCCAGAAAACCAAGAGACGUAAGCUGUUCUUUGGUCGAAUGUUCUCGUCAGUUGCAUAGCUAGUUGUAGCCUGCCAGUAGACACAGCUGUGUGUUCUUCAAUUGUUUCAAGUUAUUGCAAUUUUAUUCAUCCAGGCUGGUAGUCUGGCAGAGAGAUAGGAAAUUGAAAGAGAAAGAACAAGCUCGGAAUGUGUCAAAUAUUUAUCGUUUUUUCAUUUAGCUUAGCAAGAUUGAGAAACAUUUACAUUAGGGUUUUCUGGCUCACUGACCCACUCACUUUUUUUUUUUUUUUUUUUGAAGACCCAACAGUACGACGUAGGACGAGUUUGCUAAGUAAGACCUUAGAGAAGUGCGAUGGCGAGAUCUGAUGACAGCUGGCAAUGCCGUUUUGGGAACUUUUGAAAAUUAAUUGAUUUUUUUUCUUCUUUUUGUUUUUGUUUUAAUGCCCGUACUUUCCUCUAGUGGUCUUAAGGACGCAGACUUGCCGUGACUUUGAUCACAUGUACCUGUUCGGGAACAUAGUCGGUGUUCAAUCAUUUUAUAUGAUGGGCCACAUUUCCCUAGGAAUCUAAUUUAUGUAUAUAUUUAUUAUCAUUUUUUUAGAUAAAUGAAACAAACAUUUUUAUGCAUUAUUGUAAAGCCAUAAAUUCUUGGUCACCAGAAGUGCACAAAGAAAAUGCAAAGUACAAUUGCAAGACCAGCUAAUUUUCUGUCGUGUUCGCUGUUAUUUUGUGCCAGGAUCAUGCCAGAUUUCUGUUUGUAUUUGCCCAAAGUUUGGUUGUGUUUGAAGUAUGGAUGUAAAUAGUUAUUUGUGAUGAAACCAUUAUAGUAUGAUUUUUGAAACCCCUCCAAAUGAAUAAUAGUAAAAUAGGUACGCAGCAAUUUUGUAAAAUGUUUGAUGAUGUGUACGUUUUGCUAAAGCAGACAUUGAGCAGAAUGGAGGUAUUGUUCUCUUGGAGAAUUCCAUGUAUUUUCACUUUUAGUAAUAAGGCUUACAUUUGCAUACAAUAUAAAGGAAAUAACAAUAUAAACCAAACACACAAA